ACUUAAAUUGAAGAGUUUGAUCAUGGCUCAGAUUGAACGCUGGCGGCAGGCCUAACACAUGCAAGUCGAACGGUAGCACAGAGGAGCUUGCUCCUUGGGUGACGAGUGGCGGACGGGUGAGUAAUGUCUGG
rnacentral:rRNA from 1 species